rnacentral:piRNA from 1 species
UGGGGUAUUUGAUUUUUUUCACAAUGGCCAC